AAGACAUUCUCUCUGUUCAUGUAGAAUUCAGGUGGCCAUCUAUUCGGUUAUCUGCUCCAAAAACAAGUCAUUCAACGUAUCUAGCAGUAAACAGCAAAUAUACUGAAACUAGCCUGUCUUACAAGGAGUACAUAUUCAGCAGUUUCUUUCAGGUGCUUCUUCAGGGACUGCCUGAUCCCUGCACAAUGCUCCUGCUCCUGAUCAAGGAAAAGACGUGUGAUUUUGCAGUCUCCUUUAGCUCUCCUUCAUGGAAAUGAUUCUCUUGAUACUGAAACUAAAACAUAUCCUAGGCAUGGCUGAAAAGUCAUGCAGGUACUGGAUCUUUACCAGUGUCUGUAAGUGAAUCUGAAACUGUUUAGAAGGAUCCCAGAAUUUGAGAACUGUGUAGUAGGACCUGGAAUCUGGGAUCUAAAGAUGCUAGGACAACUAACGAAGGCUAAGCCAAAGGCAAGUAAUGAUUCCAGAUAAUUAAUGAAAUUAAGAAACGUAAACUUCUGGGAUAGAAGGCAUUUCUAAAUACUUGUGUUUUAAAAUAUAUUCCUUAUACAAAUACUCAGUUAUAAUGUUGGUUUCAAGAACCGAUCAAGAAGGAUUGAUAAGUGUUUCUCAAAUACCAGUGAAGUGCCUGUCCAUCGCCCAGGAAACUUGCAUGUAUUACUUUGUGUAAUCCUCCUGAUAAUUCUAUCAGAUGGGUACUCCUAUUUACAAAUGUGGGGCCGAGUUGCAAUGAAUACUUAAAAUGCCCGGAGCCAUGACACAGAGAUAAGAUCUUAGCCCAAUUGUUCUACCUGUCUAAAUAUCUGUUAUCUAAAUACACAUGAUGUAUUUUUAUCUAUUUGUAUUAGUACAUUCUCUCAUUACUAUAAAGAAAUACCUGAGACUGGGUAAUUUAUAAAGAAAAGAGGUUUACUUGGCUCACGGUACUGCAGCCUGUACAGGAAGCAUGAUGCUGGCAUCUGCUUGGUUUCUGAGGAGGACUCCAUAAAAUUAUAAUCAUGGGAAAGGUGAAGCAGGAGCAGGCACAUCACAAGGAGAAGCAAGGAAGCAAGAGUGAGGUGCUACACACUUAAAUGACCAAAUCUCAUGAGAACUCACUAUUGUGAUAACAGUACCAAGGGGGAUGGUGCUAAACCA
rnacentral:lncRNA from 1 species